CAUUCACGUGAAAACGCACAAGACUCUCUGCUUCAGCCACCGCCGCUCCUCCUUGCUGCUAUCCCUCACGCCGCCGUUCCUCUCCCCCGCCUUCACUUUCGUUGCUGCAGCCUCCCUCGCCGUCGGACCACCAUCACGCCACUGUUUCGUUCGCAGCAACCACCACCGCGCCACCAGCCGCGCCCAUAACGAUUGUUCGCCGCCGCACCACCAACAACCAUCGCGCGGACGCUGACACCCUCCGCCGUACUCCUCCGACCAGCGUCGCCGCCCACUGUUGCCGCGCCGCCCUGCCUGCCGGCCAGCAGCUUCCCUCUCCUCUCUUUUUUUUGGCGGAGAAUUCUUUGUAGGCGACUUUUGAAUUAUUAAAGUGGUCUUGCAGUUUGUUUACACAAGUCUCUAAGGAUCAAUAAGCAUUGUCCAUCUGCAGGUUUGAAGAUGUUGCAUCAUUGGGAUCGGGAAUAGAGAGCUUGUAUUUAGUUUUGAUUUGCUAAGUUAACUUGGGUUUGUUAAUUGGGACUUUAAACUCGUCGUACUAUUUAUAUUUCCUUAUUUUCGUUGGUUGAUUUUUUGGGGACUAAAUCUGUAAUCGAUUAUUUAUAAACCUAAAGUUAGUUUUAUGUUUUCCGCUGCAAAAUUCUGAAUAAGCCGUUACGUUUUCAUACGGGCGAUAAUGCCUUGAUAAUUCUCUACGUUUUAUAUUAAAAGAUUAUUUUAGAAAA